rnacentral:rRNA from 1 species
CCUACGGGAGGCAGCAGUGGGGGAUAUUGCACAAUGGGGGGAACCCUGAUGCAGCGACGCCGCGUGGGUGAAGGAGCGUUUCGGCGCGUAAAGCCCUAUCGGCAGGGAAGAAGAUGACGGUACCUGACCAAGAAGCCCCGGCUAACUACGUGCCAGCAGCCGCGGUAAUACGUAGGGGGCAAGCGUUAUCCGGAUUUACUGGGGGUAAAGGGGGCGGAGCCGGCAAUGCAAGCCCGGAGGGAAAGCCCGGGGCCCAACCCCGGGACUGCUCUUGGAACUGCAUGGCUGGAGUACAGGAGGGGCAGGCGGAAUGCCUGGUGUAGCGGUGAAAUGCGUAGAUAUUAGGAGGAACACCAGUGGCGAAGGCGGCUUACUGGACAGUAACUGACGUUGAGGCUCGAAAGCGUGGGGAGCAAACAGGAUUAGAUACCCGGGUAGUC